rnacentral:lncRNA from 1 species
GCAGAAUUUUCAGUAAUAAGAGAAUUGGUUUUCAUGUGUUAUUUUAUAUGGUUUUAAAUAUAGUCAGAAUAAUCUUAGUUGCCUAACAAAAGUAAUUUUACAGUUGUAUUUGCUUAAUUCUUCAUCCAGAGAAGUCAAGCUCAUUUGCAUGCUCUAGUGCUACAAUAAAAUAAUUUAUGAUUAAUCUUUUUCUUACUAAUAAUUAGAAACUUUUGAAUGAAAUUACAUAUUUUUUCUCUUGGUUUGGCUAAAGUACUAAAUUUAAAAGUUUUUAAGACAGAAUAAUUUUUGGUUACACCAGGAAUUCUCAGCCUCUUUAGAAAUAGCCCUGAAUUUAAAAAAAAAAAAAAAAAAGAAUCCACGAAUUCCUGGCUUACUCCCCGAAUAGAUUGCCGUACUUACCAGGAAAAGAGACCAAAGGGCCCUCUUUAUUUAAUGGGUGAGUGACCUUGAAGGAUUAGGUAGAAAGGAGGGUGCAAUAAAAUUAACAUUUUUGGCAAAUACUUGGCUACCGGCCCCAGUCUGCUUUAUCCCCCACCUUCUUUCCUGGGCUCAGCAGACAGGACCGAAGAGAAAAGCAAAUGGGGAUACCCUCCUGCCUGGGGCAGGUGAGCCACCCAAAGUGAGUGUCCUUCCCCACUUAAGCUGAAGCAUAGGCUAGAGUUACACAAGUGAAUUCAAAACUAGAAGCUUAUGGGUAGCAGUGAGCCAGCUGUGGACAGUGUUUAUUUGGCUCAUCAUUUGGCAAAGGUUGAGAAUCCCUGGUUGAGACUAAUUAAGUAGAAAGAGGCUUAAAAAGUCUUACAUAAUAUUAAACCCUUUCCUGCCUAGGAAGAAAAUGCUGCCCCUGUGCUAGAUAGACAGCGGUUCAGAAGAUCCAGUGUAAACUGAGCUCGGUUAAAUUCCCCAGCUGGCUUCCUCACCACAUAUAAGGGGGUGAAGAAGACACGGCCACCACUCUAGUCCUGCCAUGCAAUCAGCCAGAGAAGAAAUGUGUCAUCCACCUUAACCAGAUCUCUCUGUUCUCUGUAACUGUAGGGUUUAAGUUAGUUUUUUUUUUUUAAUGAAGUACAACUUUUAUGAGAUUUUAGGUAAAAGCCCAAUGUAUAGAUAAAAAUGUGUAAAUAAGCUAGUCUCUCCUCUCAUGUCCUGUAGCACGUUCUUGGUCAGGUAACUAAUAAAACAUUAAGAUAUUUUCAAAAUUGUCACAGUUCUGACACUUGCAAGUUGUGUUUCUUAGAACUUUUAGAAGGC